ensembl:lncRNA
GAGAAAGUCAAGCAGGCCAACUCUACCUACGUAUGGCUGGGACUGCGCUACACCUGCACUCUAGGUUUCUGGUUCUGGGUCACUGAUGAGGUAGUUGAAUAUAAAAACUGGGACUCUGACGGAACGACUGAUGGCUGUGACAUGUCUGGAGCCAUGAAUAGAGAACGCCCACAUAAGUGGUCCAAACAAGCUGAUAAUAAAAUGUUUAAUUUCAUCUGUUCUAAGAAGUAAAAUCCUCUCUGAUUCUUGAUCAAAAGGGUUUGCAUUUAUUUACUUUGUGUUUGGGGUGUGUUGAUUUUUAAAAAGUUUCUUCAAAAGCAUUCUGGGAAAUGUGGAUUCAAGUAGUUUUGGUGGGAGUUUGUAUGGUUUGUAUUUUGUACCUCACAAUAUCUAAAGCUGCUUGAGGUGACUGUUGUUGUAAUUUUUUGCUUGGUAAGUAAAAAUGGAUUGAAUCAUAUUUUUAUAUUUUUAUAAAAUAUUGCUGGUAGUUUUUUCUUUGUUUGUUUUUAAAAAUAUAAUUUUAGACUUCAAAAUGUUAACUUUUUCACUUCUUUUACUUCAAUGUCAUUUUUAAUAAUUCAUCUUGGCACUAGCAGCUCAAACCCCAAAUUACUGUAUUGAUUCAGUAAUAAUUGAGGUAAAACCAUAAUUACAGUUGAGAAGCUGUAAUUGUGAUUUACUCGACAUGAAAGAAAAGCUAAAUAUCAAAUUAAUAUAGAUUAAGUAGCUUAAAAGAUCCAAUUUCAUAAGGACUUCCAUUUCUACAUGGAAACGGUUUUAUGUAAAUGCUAUAAUGUAUAAUAUUAUGAAGUUUAAUAUUAGUUAGUAUAUGUUGCAUUAAGGUAAAAUCCCAAGGUAAAGUUCCUCAUCCUUGUACAGUGCACAGUGGUACCUCACACCUGCUGCUUAUUGUCUUCAUCAGCUCACUGGUAUUUAAGAACCAGCUGAUUGCACCAGACUGUGUGCAUGAGUGAUGAGCAGGCUCUUUCUUCUUUUUGUUCUCUUUCAAAUUGCAGUUUUUCUGCUGUGAGUAGUUCAGACUGAGUCUGGUAAAACAAGGCUUUGUGAAGCUCUGAACCUUGUUGAACCACUGUGUGAAAAGUUGAUUGAAGCUUCAGUUAUUACACUCUUGGGGGACAUCUACUGGUGACAGUAGUUGUUGUACAGCCAAAUGAAGCCUUACAAAUGUGAUUGAAAUAUUUUAUAAAAUUGUAAGAAACAGAAACUUGCAAACAUUAUUCAAAUGUCCUGAUUUCAUUUGAUAUGUCUUUGGUGUUUGUAUCUCAUUUUAAAUACUGCCUGAAUAUGUUAAUCUAUAAAAUAAUGAGGAAUAAAACAUGUUAAAAA